rnacentral:rRNA from 1 species
UACGAAGGGGGCUAGCGUUGUUCGGAAUUACUGGGCGUAAAGCGCACGUAGGCGGAUAUUUAAGUCAGGGGUGAAAUCCCACGGCUCAACCGUGGAACUGCUGGGUAUACUGGUUGUCUUGAGCCAGCUAGGGGCGAGCGGAACAGACGGUGGAGCGGUGAAAUGCGUAGAUAUCGUCUGGAACGCCGAAGGUGAAAACAGCUCGCUGGGGCUGCGCUGACGCUGAGACACGAAAGCCAGGGGAGCGAACGGG